AAAGGUCAGAUGUUACAGUGAAAUCUGUCUGGUAGUCAGAGGUUGAAACACCUGCUACUGAACUUUGAGACUCAUGUCUCUGUAUACCACUCUCUAUACAAAGUUCAAGUACAAAACACUGAUGCAGACAGAAUGAUGUGAACCAGUCAUGACAGGGCUAUAUUUCAACAUGUAUAACAGAAAUCGUUGGGAGAAGUGAGGCCACGAUUCCCUGGAGAAAACUUUGAGGACUUUCUCAGUGUACAUGAGGUGAUGGGCUAUCUGGGGGGAGCCUAUCGUAGUGACACUAAGUAUAAGCAAAGUCAUGUGCUCUGGAAGCAAGCGUUGUGUUGAUGUGAUAUCAGCAAUUCAGAGGAGACAAAGAACAGAAGAACAGAUGUUGAGCCGAGGUUUGGAGUUGGUUGGUUGGUACCACAGUCAUCCCGUUUCCCUACCUAAUCCCUCUCAUAAUGACAUCCUCUCUCAACGUAUGUACCAGUACAAGAUGAUGACGUCAGGGGGAGAGGAACCGUGUGUGGGGAUUGUCGUUGGUGAGGGUCCUAACCACGGUGGUAUAAGAGAGCUAGACGGACAAGUGUCCUUGUUUGAGAUGUUCUGGGUGCUCAUGGUCCAGGGGGACGAUCUUAGUGCAUCCCCAAUGAAACUGAACUACUCAACCCAGUGGGAGCAAUACCUCACUCAGGAGAUAGUGGACGAAAUGAAUGCACUGGUGGCCUACUACAAAACCAAGCAAGCUACUCCAGAAAUGAAGGCCAUCUGGAAGGAGAACAUAUACUUUGUCAACAAGUUAAAGGUCCUAACCACGGAGGUGUCCGCCAUGUUUGAGAUGUUCUGGGUGCUCAUCAUGUUGCAGGUCUUUUAUCCCCCCCUGAGCCUGUAGUGGGAUUUUCUGGACAAAGAAUAUCCUUAAACUGUUCUCUUUGCACUGGCAGUAUCACUGUUUUUUGGAUUGUGGAUGGCAUGGAUUCAAUUAGUUUGGCAGACACCCAAUUAAUGGCUCAAAAUGAAUUAUUUCAAGUAUCACCUAGUGUACUGAAUAGUCGUUUGUCAUUUACUGCAAUUUCUGAGUCUAACCACACCAUUCAAUGUGUGGUUUAUGGACCUGAUCGAAUGAUCGAGCGGAGUGACCCAAUAACAAUACCAGUACAAGGUGCACUGAGUUCUCCUCCUAACUUUCAUGUGAAUACGACGAUAUUUCGCAAUAUUCACAUCAUCAAUCUUAUGUGGGAUCCACCCCCUAGUCUGGUCACUGUAUCUCUUUACAGUGUUGCAGUUCGUAUCAAUAGUAGCUUUGAACUCAUUUUAAUACACCAACCUCUCUAUGAAUACAAGUACAACUAUAGUGGUUGUGAAGACAUGGAAGUUGAAUUUGGCGUUCGUGCUGACAAUCCUGCUGGUGCUGGAAAUUUCUCAAACAUGACUGUCCUCAUAGCUGGUUGUGUUAUUACACCAAGUACAACUUUAAGAAACACUGUUGUAAAAUUCACCUCUGCAAUCAAUUCAACUCAAAACAGCCUUCGUUUCACUUUCACAGUGCCCAUUGCUUCUACGAUUGAUACAACAAGAGAUUAUGAUUUAGGUCUUGUGGCUUACAUUUGUGCCCCUGUAACUGCAAUAGUGAGUAAGUGAAUAAUUGUGGCAUGUUGCCUCAAUGUACGUUGUAGUACAUACAUGUAAUGUAAGCUGCAAUAAUUUUUUUUAUUGUGCAUGCAUGCCUGACAGCUACUAUUUUGAUGAUAAUUUCCAUUAUGGUUUGGAAGUGGAGACAAUAUCAAAGCAAACAGCAGACGGUUGAGCACCCCCCGGAGUGCAUUCCAACCUGCAAGAACAGUGCUUAUGGAGAAGUACAACUAAUAGUGAAAAAUGAAGCCUAUGCUUCGUUGCCUGGCACGCAACACAUUUAUGAAACCAUCAAAUAACUCGAAUAAAAAUAAGCUGAAAACAAAAAUUAAUUAGCUAUAGAUCUAUAGAUCACGUAUAAUUAUAUAUACGUCCAUUCGUUCUGAUGCAUGCAUGUUUAUUUAUAAUUGUCAUUAUAA